AGAGUUUGAUCCUGGCUCAGGAUGAACGCUAGCUACAGGCUUAACACAUGCAAGUCGAGGGGCAGCAUGGUCUUAGCUUGCUAAGGCCGAUGGCGACCGGCGCACGGGUGAGUAACACGUAUCCAACCUGCCGUCUACUCUUGGACAGCCUUCUGAAAGGAAGAUUAAUACAAGAUGGCAUCAUGAGUUCACAUGUUCACAUGAUUAAAGGUAUUCCGGUAGACGAUGGGGAUGCGUUCCAUUAGAUAGUAGGCGGGGUAACGGCCCACCUAGUCUUCGAUGGAUAGGGGUUCUGAGAGGAAGGUCCCCCACAUUGGAACUGAGACACGGUCCAAACUCCUACGGGAGGCAGCAGUGAGGAAUAUUGGUCAAUGGGCGAGAGCCUGAACCAGCCAAGUAGCGUGAAGGAUGACUGCCCUAUGGGUUGUAAACUUCUUUUAUAAAGGAAUAAAGUCGGGUAUGCAUACCCGUUUGCAUGUACUUUAUGAAUAAGGAUCGGCUAACUCCGUGCCAGCAGCCGCGGUAAUACGGAGGAUCCGAGCGUUAUCCGGAUUUAUUGGGUUUAAAGGGAGCGUAGAUGGAUGUUUAAGUCAGUUGUGAAAGUUUGCGGCUCAACCGUAAAAUUGCAGUUGAUACUGGAUAUCUUGAGAGCAGUUGAGGCAGGCGGAAUUCGUGGUGUAGCGGUGAAAUGCUUAGAUAUCACGAAGAACUCCGAUUGCGAAGGCAGCCUGCUAAGCUGCAACUGACAUUGAGGCUCGAAAGUGUGGGUAUCAAACAGGAUUAGAUACCCUGGUAGUCCACACGGUAA
rnacentral:rRNA from 1 species